GGCAAAAAUGUGUGUGUUUUUUUUGUUAUGUUGUUGAUUCAGAAUGAUCCUUUAAACUUUGCUGAUACUAAAGCAAACAGUAAAUUUCUGUUGAACUGGAAAAUGAUUUAAUCCAGUGACAUGCAAGCAAGUCUAACGACAUCUACUUGAAGGACAAAAUGCAGGUUAAUAGUCCCAUAACUUCAAGCGCUCCUAUUUCCUGGACUGUGAAAACAGAAGCACAUGCAUCGGGUUGCGUCUCAACUAAACAGACCUAGAUGAAAAUACUGCUGAGUGUUCACUGUCCACCAGUGGGACAGAGCUGCCUAGGGAAGACAGCGAAGCCCAGUUCAUAAAGGAAAACGAAAACCACAGUCUGAUCACACAGACAUUCUACAACUGAGCACUGAGAAAAAGAACGACGCAAAUGAACCUACUCACAAAACAGAAAGAGGUUCACAGACUUAGAAGACGAGCUAAUGGUUGUUGCGCAGAAGGGACAAUUAGGGAGUUUGGGCUGGACAUGUACACACUGCUAUAUUUAAGCUGGAUGACCAACAAGGACCUACUGUACAGCACAGGGAACUCUGCUCGAUACUAUGUGGCAGCCUGGAUGGGAGGGGAGUUUGGGGGAGAAUGGAUACAUGUACAUGUACGGCUGAGUCCCUUCUCUGUUCACCUGAAACUAUCACAACAUUGUUAACUGGCUAGACCCGAACACAAAAUAAAAAGUUAAAAAAAAAAC
ensembl:lncRNA